UCGGCAACGGAUAUCUCGGCUCUUACAUCGAUGAAGAACGUAGCAAAAUGCGAUACUUGGUGUGAAUUGCAGAAUCCCGUGAACCAUCGAGUCUUUGAACGCAAGUUGCGCCCGAACCCUUCGGGUUGAGGGCACGUCUGCCUGGGUGUCACGUACACACGUCUCACACAAACCUUCGCCCUUUGCGGACGGAGGGCUUCGUGCGAGCAGAGACUGGUUUCCCGUGCUC
rnacentral:rRNA from 3 species